rnacentral:rRNA from 1 species
UGGGGAAUAUUGCACAAUGGGCGAAAGCCUGAUGCAGCGACGCCGCGUGCGGGAUGAAGGCCUUCGGGUUGUAAACCGCUUUUGAUUGGGAGCAAGCGAGAGUGAGUGUACCUUUCGAAUAAGCACCGGCUAACUACGUGCCAGCAGCCGCGGUAAUACGUAGGGUGCAAGCGUUAUCCGGAAUUAUUGGGCGUAAAGAGCUCGUAGGCGGUUUGUCGCGUCUGGUGUGAAAGUCCAUCGCUUAACGGUGGAUCUGCGCCGGGUACGGGCAGGCUAGAGUGCGACAGGGGAGACUGGAAUUCCCGGUGUAACGGUGGAAUGUGUAGAUAUCGGGAAGAACACCAAUGGCGAAGGCAGGUCUCUGGGUCGUCACUGACGCUGAGGAGCGAAAGCGUGGGGAGCGAACAGGAUUAGAUACCCUGGUAGUCCACGCCGUAAACGGUGGAUGCUGGAUGUGGGGCCCAUUCCACGGGUUCCGUGUCGGAGCUAACGCGUUAAGCAUCCCGCCUGGGGAGUACGGCCGCAAGGCUAAAAACUCUAAAGUGAAUUGACGGGG